AUUGAACGCUGGCGGAAUGCUUUACACAUGCAAGUCGAGCGGCAGCGCGGCCUUCGGGCUGGCGGCGAGCGGCGAACGGGUGAGUAAUGCAUCGGAACAUGCCCAGUCGUGGGGGAUAACACUUCGAAAGAAGUGCUAAUACCGCAUACGUCCUGAGGGGGAAAGCGGGGGAUCGCAAGACAUCGCGCGAUUGGAGUGGCCGAUGUCAGAUUAGCUAGUUGGUGGGGUAAAGGCCUACCAAGGCGACGAUCUGUAGCUGGUCUGAGAGGAUGAUCAGCCACACUGGGACGGAGACACGGCCCAGACUCCUACGGGAGGCAGCAGUGGGGAAUUUUGGACAAUGGGGGCAACCCUGAUCCAGCCAUUCCGCGUGAGUGAAAGAGGCCUUCGGGUUGUAAAGCUCGUUCGGCAGGGACGAAACGGUGGGCUCUAACAUAGUCCGCUAAUGACGGUACCUGAAGAAGAAGCACCGGCUAACUACGUG
rnacentral:rRNA from 1 species